rnacentral:rRNA from 1 species
CACGUAGGGGGCAAGCGUUGUCCGGAUUUAUUGGGCGUAAAGAGCUCGUAGGUGGUUCGGUAAGUCGGGUGUUAAACCCCCAGGCUCAACCUGGGGACGCCACUCGAUACUGCUGUGACUAGAGUCCGGUAGGGGAGCGUGGAAUUCCUGGUGUAGCGGUGAAAUGCGCAGAUAUCAGGAGGAACACCAGUGGCGAAAGCGCUCUGCUGGACUGCAACUGACACUGAGGGACGAAAGCUAGGGGAGCGAAAGGG